rnacentral:sRNA from 1 species
UAAUGAAAGUAUAAAAAGAGCAUGUGCUGAUUACACAUGCUCCCAGUAGAACCGUUUAAGACGGUAGCUGUUAAUUAGUUAAAAAUAA